GUGAUCUCUGCCGUGUAGAAACGUGCCCUCGGCUCUUCAAACUUCCUGGACUUCUGGAUGUGGAACAUAAGAUCGCCACCAUUCACAAAUUCCAUCACAAAGAAGAGACGAUCCUGAAAGAGGAAGCAAAGAGAUGACAUUCACACACGUCAUGGUGGAUAUAUGAUCUAGAAAAUGAGACCCUGGGGGAAAAAACACUGCAGGAGAACGCAAUGUACAGAUUUGCCCAUAAAGCUUCCAGAAGUGACCGGGACGUUCAGAUACAGCUGGCCAUUAUUAACUGCUCUGUGGUUUAGAAUGGUCUGUUUCAUUUUUUUUUACCCAGAGAUUCUAGUGUAAUGUUUAAAACAAAUGUGCACACAGAAAGCAGGCAGCACUGUGUGUGGUCCAGCUGUACAGCUGAGUGAAUCUUUAAAUUCACACUAGAAGAAGUUUUAUCCCAAAAACAUGGUUAACUGUUUUUACUUUAAUAAAUUUAAUUCUACAAGGAGAGUCAGCCUCUACUUGAACUUUAAAGAAACCAGAGAUGUCAUUUCCUGGGGUGGAUAUUCUAAAUCCACAGUCAGUGACCUGACUCUGGGAUUUCCAAAGUUUAGUUAAACCUAAUCUGUUUGGCAAGACUUUCUCCAAGCCCCUGUAAAAUUUGAUGAGCUAGAUGUCCAGCUAUGCAAGAUUAGAUUUAAUUUGCUGUUUAAUGGCAGCUGAUGACAAACUGCGUUGGAGGACACAUCAUUUGGCUAAAGUGAUUCCCUCACCACAGGCGCAACCACAUCCCUUCUCCUCAUCCCACCCUCCACUCUUCCUGUGCCCACUUCCAUUUUUCAAAUAUCACAAAAAUACUCUCUAAAGAAUCAACAUGUAAUCAUUCUAAUAAUAUGGCUGUUAUAACAAAAAUUAAAACCACAGAUAAUUUAGCACUUUUAUUUGCACACGUUAAAAAACAUGCUCUUGAGUCCUUUAACAGGAAAACGUUGAGUCAUGUUUAGCGACUGUCUGCUCAGAAAAAGGAUGACGAGACACCUAAAAAAACAAAGAUGAGGUUUGCUGGUGGAACAGACGCUGUUGUGCAUAUGUGGGUGUGAAUUAGUGAGGGGAGCAGUGUCACCGGGUCAAUUCUUCACCACAACUGCUGCUACUCUAUUGUGGCCGAAGGUAGAGCAGGUCAGUGGCAGUUCAGAUAAAACUUAAGCAGAUUAGGAGUAUCCUGUCUGCGCUAGAGAGACCAGCUCAGUCACUUCCUGACGCCCCUCUUAGACACGAGACUGGGGCUCUGCUGCCACCUGCUGACCAGUUCAUGCAAAGCAACAAGGGAUUCUGAACCAAACGAGCAGAAACAAACGAAAGCAACAUUCAACUCGAGUGAAUGAGGGAAUGUCUCAGAGAACACUGUUCUAUAGCUACUCUAAAAACCACAGACAUAAUUCUAUUAACCUCUACUGUUCUCGGGUGGAGGCUUAAAUCUCACAAUGAUUUUAAAAAACCAAACAUGUAGCUUUUUACCACUAGAGGAGAGUGAGGAAAUAUGUUCUUAGUAAUAGUGAAACAGUCCUUAAAAGUAUUAAUGGUAGGCAAACAGCAUGACACACCACAAAAUUUUAAUGGCAUUUCUAAGAAAGUGUGACGUAAAAGACUCUAUGAGCAAAGACUUUAUUCAUUCUGUAUCAGCAGCAGUAUUUUCAGUAAUUAGGAAAAGAUCUUGCAUCUGCAGAUUCCAGCCUAGUUUAUGGUUUCAGACUUGCAUCAGGUGAUGAGGAGGCUCAUUGUUUGCACACUGCUCUUAAAAUAACAGUGCUUGUUUGCGUCAUGACUUGGUCUGCAAACACUUCUCAGGAACUUAAGAGAGCGUGUGCUCUGUCUGAGCUGAACUGCAACUAAUUUAAGGGUCUACAGCCAUGCUAGAGGCUCUGUGCGGCUGCGCCACAGCGUGCGCCAACAUGCUGAUGAUUAGCGGGUAUCACUUUUAGUACACAUUAGCACUAAGCAACUUACUGCACUUCAUUCUGAGGAUGAUACAGUGUUUGUUCAACCAUCCACCUAAUGGUUGUUGAAAUAUUUCAAAAAAAAAAAAAAAAAAAAAAAAACCACAAAUUUCAAACUCAUGGUGGAACUAGUGGCCCAUCCUCUGUGCAAGAGUUUGUGCCAACUCAUCCACUUGAGGUAUUUCUCAGAAUAAUUCAAAGACUAACCUGCCGGUGGCAGCAAGGGAAAGGUCAGACGUCAGUCAGUCAUCACAAAAUUUCACAGCAACGCAGUCAUUAGUUGUUGAA